GGGGUUGUGGCUCAGUGGUAGAGUGCUUGCUUCGCAUGCAUGGGCACUGAGUUCGAUCCUCAGCACCACA
rnacentral:tRNA from 1 species